CAGUCGACGCUUCUUUUUCCCCGGAGCUUGCUCCACCGGAAAAAGAAGAGUGGCGAACGGGUGAGUAACACGUGGGUAACCUGCCCAUCAGAAGGGGAUAACACUUGGAAACAGGUGCUAAUACCGUAUAACAAUCAAAACCGCAUGGUUUUGAUUUGAAAGGCGCUUUCGGGUGUCGCUGAUGGAUGGACCCGCGGUGCAUUAGCUAGUUGGUGAGGUAACGGCUCACCAAGGCCACGAUGCAUAGCCGACCUGAGAGGGUGAUCGGCCACAUUGGGACUGAGACACGGCCCAAACUCCUACGGGAGGCAGCAGUAGGGAAUCUUCGGCAAUGGACGAAAGUCUGACCGAGCAACGCCGCGUGAGUGAAGAAGGUUUUCGGAUCGUAAAACUCUGUUGUUAGAGAAGAACAAGGAUGAGAGUAACUGUUCAUCCCUUGACGGUAUCUAACCAGAAAGCCACGGCUAACUACGUGCCAGCAGCCGCGGUAAUACGUAGGUGGCAAGCGUUGUCCGGAUUUAUUGGGCGUAAAGCGAGCGCAGGCGGUUUCUUAAGUCUGAUGUGAAAGCCCCCGGCUCAACCGGGGAGGGUCAUUGGAAACUGGGAGACUUGAGUGCAGAAGAGGAGAGUGGAAUUCCAUGUGUAGCGGUGAAAUGCGUAGAUAUAUGGAGGAACACCAGUGGCGAAGGCGGCUCUCUGGUCUGUAACUGACGCUGAGGCUCGAAAGCGUGGGGAGCAAACAGGAUUAGAUACCCUGGUAGUCCACGCCGUAAACGAUGAGUGCUAAGUGUUGGAGGGUUUCCGCCCUUCAGUGCUGCAGCUAACGCAUUAAGCACUCCGCCUGGGGAGUACGACCGCAAGGUUGAAACUCAAAGGAAUUGACGGGGGCCCGCACAAGCGGUGGAGCAUGUGGUUUAAUUCGAAGCAACGCGAAGAACCUUACCAGGUCUUGACAUCCUUUGACCACUCUAGAGAUAGAGCUUCCCCUUCGGGGGCAAAGUGACAGGUGGUGCAUGGUUGUCGUCAGCUCGUGUCGUGAGAUGUUGGGUUAAGUCCCGCAACGAGCGCAACCCUUAUUGGUAG
rnacentral:rRNA from 2 species